rnacentral:rRNA from 1 species
UUAUUCCUACGGGGGGCAGCAGUGGGGGAUAUUGCACAAUGGGGGGAACCCUGACGCAGCGACGCCGCGUGGGCGAUGGAGUGCUUCGGCAUGUAAAGCCCUAUCAGCAGGGAAGAAAAUGACGGUACCUGACUAAGAAGCCCCGGCUAAAUACGUGCCAGCAGCCGCGGUAAUACGUAUGGGGCAAGCGUUAUCCGGAUUUACUGGGUGUAAAGGGAGCGUAGACGGCAGCGCAAGUCUGGAGUGAAAUGCCGGGGCUCAACCCCGGAACUGCUUUGGAAACUGUGCAGCUAGAGUGCGGGAGG